rnacentral:rRNA from 1 species
CCUUGGAGUGGGGAAUAACAGCUGGAAACAGCUGCUAAUACCGCAUGAUAUGUCUGUAUCACAUGGGUACUGGACAUCAAAGAUCUAUCGCUCUGAGAUGGGCUCGCGUCUGAUUAGCUAGUUGGUGGGGCAACGGCCCACCAAGGCGACGAUCAGUAGCCGGACUGAGAGGUUGGCCGGCCACAUUGGGGACUGAGACACGGCCCAGACUCCUACGGGAGGCAGCAG